GAUGAACGCUAGCUACAGGCUUAACACAUGCAAGUCGAGGGGUAACAAGAGAAAAGCUUGCUUUUCUUGUUGACGACCGGCGCACGGGUGAGUAACGCGUAUCCAACCUGCCUAUAACUAGGGAAUAACCUUGCGAAAGUAAGACUAAUACCCUAUGAUUUCCUUUGAUGACAUCAGAUUAGGACUAAAGAUUUAUCGUGUAUAUAUGGGGAUUCGUCUGAUUAGCUUGUUGGCGGGGUAACGGCACACUAAGGCAAAGAUCAGGAGGGGUUCUGAGAGGAAGGUCCCCCACAUUGGAACUGAGACACGGUCCAAACUCCUACGGGAGGAAGCAGUGAGGAAUAUUGGUCAAUGGGCGGAAGCCUGAACCAGCCAAGUAGCGUGCAGGAUGACGGCCCUAUGGGUUGUAAACUGCUUUUAUACAGGAAUAAAGUUAGCCACGUGUGGUUAUUUGUAGGUACUGUAUGAAUAAGGACCGGCUAAUUCCGUGCCAGCCGCCGCCGUAA
rnacentral:rRNA from 1 species